ACCUCCAUCUGCCUGAAUGCGGGGAGGGGGGGCAGAGAUCAAAGGGAGCCCCCCGCCACGCCAGCCUCACUCGGCACUGCGCAGGCGCUCUCUGGCUGACUGAAAAUGGAGGGCUCCGAUUGGUCGCUCUGGAGUCGGCGGCGAUUGGCUGGAGGACUCUUUGGGGCGGUCCUUCUAAAGGAAGGGUGCCCCCACCACAUUUGUUAGGGGGGAGACAUUCCGACGAGGGAAGGGAAAUACAGAUCCAGAAGCUGCACCACCACCACCACAACCUCCCCCUGCCUGGAUGCGGGCAGCGGGGAAGCAGACCGGACCACAAACUUCAUAGGUUCCCUUCGGCCCAUCUCCCCAUGGCAACCAUAACAAACCUCGGCAACGCGCAGGCGCCCUCUGGCUCUUUGAAGGAAGGCGGACUCCAAUUGGCCGUUCUGGGGACGGCGGUGAUUGGCAGGAGGACGGCUUGGGGCGGUCCUUUCAGAGGAACAGGAGGAGCUUCGGCUUUCCUACCUGGAAGAGCGUAAAGACAGGGAAGCUUCCACUUCCGGAAACUAAACGGAGAACGGGGAAGGUGCCUGGAUCGGCGACAGAAGAGCCCGGAUAAAGCAGAAGGACCGAGGUGCCCGGCGGGGGAAGGAAGGAACCGCCGCCCGAGAGGAGGAAGAGAGCGUGCCCCGCGGAGCAGCCCUGACCUAUCCUGGCACGCUUUCCCCGGGAGACGACGAGGAAAGACCGGGAGGCUCCGGGGCUGCAGGAGGGAUGAGCCCAGGGGGACCCCGGGAAAGCGGGCUGCCUGGAGGCGGAUGCGGAGAGAAGGAAACGGGCGGAGACUCCAAGACAGUUCUGGAAGAUGGAAGAUCCUUCCGAAGACGCCGGAAGACCCAAAGGAUCCAGGAGGGAGGAAAGAAAUAUCAGUGCC